GACGAACGCUGGCGGCGUGCUUAACACAUGCAAGUCGAACGGAAAGGCCCUGCUUUUGUGGGGUGCUCGAGUGGCGAACGGGUGAGUAACACGUGAGUAACCUGCCCUUGACUUUGGGAUAACUUCAGGAAACUGGGGCUAAUACCGGAUAGGAGCUCCUGCUGCAUGGUGGGGGUUGGAAAGUUUCGGCGGUUGGGGAUGGACUCGCGGCUUAUCAGCUUGUUGGUGGGGUAGUGGCUUACCAAGGCUUUGACGGGUAGCCGGCCUGAGAGGGUGACCGGCCACAUGGGGACUGAGAUACGGCCCAGACUCCUACGGGAGGCAGCGGUGGGGAAUCUUGCACAAUGGGCGGAAGCCUGAUGCAGCAACGCCGCGUGCGGGAUGACGGCCUUCGGGUUGUAAACCGCUUUCGCCUGUGACGAAGCGUGAGUGACGGUAAUGGGUAAAGAAGCACCGGCUAACUACGUG
rnacentral:rRNA from 1 species